rnacentral:rRNA from 1 species
AACGAACGCUGGCGGCAUGCCUAACACAUGCCAGUCGAACGAGACCUUCGGGUCUAGUGGCGCACGGGUUCGUAACGCGUGGGAACCUGCCCUUAGGUUCGGAAUAACUCCCCGAAAGGGGUGCUAAUACCGGAUAAUGUCUUCGGACCAAAGAUUUAUCGCCUUUGGAUGGGCCCGCGUUGGAUUAGCUAGUUGGUAGGGUAAAAGCCUACCAAGGCGACGAUCCAUAGCUGGUCUGAGAGGAUGAUCAGCCACACUGGGACUGAGACACGGCCCAGACUACGACGGGAGGCAGCAGUGGGGAAUAUUGGAAAAUGGGCGAAAGCCAGAUCAAGCAAGGCCGCGUGAGUGAUGAAGGCCUUAGGGUUGUAAAGCUCUUUUAACCGGGAUGAUAAUGACAGUACCGGGAGAAUAAGCACCGGCUAACUCCGUG